UUCCAGACUCCUACGGGAGGCAGCAGUGAGGAAUAUUGGUCAAUGGACGUAAGCCUGAACCAGCCAAGUCGCGUGAGGGAUGAAGGAUCUAUGGUUCGUAAACCUCUUUUAUAAGGGAAUAAAGUGCGGGACGUGUCUUGUUUUGUAUGUACUUUAUGAAUAAGGAUCGGCUAACUCCGUGCCAGCAGCCGCGGUAAUACGGAGGAUCCGAGCGUUAUCCGGAUUUAUUGGGUUUAAAGGGAGCGUAGAUGGGUUGUUAAGUCAGUUGUGAAAGUUUGCGGCUCAACCGUAAAAUUGCAAUUGAUACUGGCAGUCUUGAGUACAGUUGAGGUAGGCGGAAUUCGUGGUGUAGCGGUGAAAUGCUUAGAUAUCACGAAGAACCCCGAUUGCGAAGGCAGCUUACUAAACUGUGACUGACAUUGAUGCUCGAAAGUGUGGGUAUCAAACAGGAUUAGAUACCCCAGUAU
rnacentral:rRNA from 1 species